rnacentral:lncRNA from 1 species
UGGUCUCUCACUUCAAGUACUUCCCCUCUCAGGAAAUAAGCAGAUCCAAAUCUUCCUUUUGUUUGAACAGGACUGUGUUGCAUCAGAUUGAUCGGCCACUGUCUUUGUAAAGUCUUCUUCAUUCUCCUCAGUCCAAGGAUGUAUUUCAGAAGGCUCAGAGAGGAAUAGAGACCACUUUGAUACUUACAAAACCAGGGGCACAAAAGAUCUAUAUGAUGAAAUCUCUAUUAAAAUAAAAUGGGUGAUUGCCUGA